rnacentral:lncRNA from 1 species
GAGUUCUAGUGGGUGACAUCAAAGUGGUCCAAAGGCUAGAAGUAUGACACCUAGAUGACCAUAUAAGAAAAGUUCUCUGAGACCAUGUAGGUUAAUUUCCUUAUUUUAAGGAUAAAGAAACUGAGAUUUAAUGGUGAAGUGAUUUUUCCAUUGUAAAUACUAUCCCACAAAAGGAUCCAUGGACAAAGACACCCUGCCUCAGUCUACUAUAGCUUCACACUCAACAAUGAGAUGGAUACAAAUGCAACCCCAACCCUGACAUUACCUGCAAUGUACAGUGAAAGGAGGAUUGGACUAAACAUUAGAAGAACUAGAGCGUGAACCACCAAGGAGGAAAGGCUGUUGAGUGAUGUCUACAGAAGGAG